rnacentral:rRNA from 1 species
AUUGAACGCUGGCGGCAUGCCUUACACAUGCAAGUCGAACGGUAACAGGUCUUCGGAUGCUGACGAGUGGCGAACGGGUGAGUAAUACAUCGGAACGUGCCCGAUCGUGGGGGAUAACGCAGCGAAAGCUGUGCUAAUACCGCAUACGAUCUACGGAUGAAAGCGGGGGAUCGCAAGACCUCGCGCGGACGGAGCGGCCGAUGGCAGAUUAGGUAGUUGGUGGGAUAAAAGCUUACCAAGCCGACGAUCUGUAGCUGGUCUGAGAGGACGACCAGCCACACUGGGACUGAGACACGGCCCAGACUCCUACGGGAGGCAGCAGUGGGGAAUUUUGGACAAUGGGCGCAAGCCUGAUCCAGCCAUGCCGCGUGCAGGAUGAAGGCCUUCGGGUUGUAAAACUCUGUCCUAUGGGAAGAAACAAAUGACGGUACCAUGGGAGGAAGCCCCGGCUAACUACGUG